rnacentral:rRNA from 1 species
GGUGUGGGAUGAGCCCGCGGCCUAUCAGCUUGUUGGUGGGGUGACGGCCUACCAAGGCGACGACGGGUAGCCGGCCUGAGAGGGUGUCCGGCCACACUGGGACUGAGAUACGGCCCAGACUCCUACGGGAGGCAGCAGUGGGGAAUAUUGCACAAUGGGCGCAAGCCUGAUGCAGCGACGCCGCGUGGGGGAUGACGGCCUUCGGGUUGUAAACCUCUUUCACCAUCGACGAAGGUCCGGGUUCUCUCGGAUUGACGGUAGGUGGAGAAGAAGCACCGGCCAACUACGUGCCAGCAGCCGCGGUAAUACGUAGGGUGCGAGCGUUGUCCGGAAUUACUGGGCGUAAAGAGCUCGUAGGUGGUUUGUCGCGUUGUUCGUGAAAUCUCACGGCUUAACUGUGAGCGUGCGGGCGAUACGGGCAGACUAGAGUACUGCAGGGGAGACUGGAAUUCCUGGUGUAGCGGUGGAAUGCGCAGAUAUCAGGAGGAACACCGGUGGCGAAGGCGGGUCUCUGGGCAGUAACUGACGCUGAGGAGCGAAAGCGUGGGGAGCGAACAGGAUUAGAUACCCUGGUAGUCCACGCCGUAAACGGUGGGUACUAGGUGUGGGUUUCCUUCCUUGGGAUCCGUGCCGUAGCUAACGCAUUAAGUACCCCGCCUGGGGAGUACGGCCGCAAGGCUAAAACUCAAAGGAAUUGACGGGGGCCCGCACAAGCGGCGGAGCAUGUGGAUUAAUUCGAUGCAACGCGAAGAACCUUACCUGGGUUUGACAUGCACAGGACGCGUCUAGAGAUAGGCGUUCCCUUGUGGCCUGUGUGCAGGUGGUGCAUGGCUGUCGUCAGCUCGUGUCGUGAGAUGUUGGGUUAAGUCCCGCAACGAGCGCAACCCUUGUCUCAUGUUGCCAGCACGUAAUGGUGGGGACUCGUGAGAGACUGCCGGGGUCAACUCGGAGGAAGGUGGGGAUGACGUCAAGUCAUCAUGCCCCUUAUGUCCAGGGCUUCACACAUGCUACAAUGGCCGGUACAAAGGGCUGCGAUGCCGCGAGGUUAAGCGAAUCCUUAAAAGCCGGUCUCAGUUCGG